CAGGCGGCAAUCCGCCGCCUCCUUCUUCCCUCAAUUUCCCUUUCCUUACGGGAGAUCAGUUUCACUUUCCAUUUGAUUACGUAAAUUGAAGAUAAAACACGAUUUUUGAGUUACGGAAGGCGGCAGCGGCUUCUUACGCAA
ensembl:ncRNA R08E3.7 ncRNA